rnacentral:rRNA from 1 species
AGGUUAAGUUAUGAAGGGCGCAUGGUGAAUGCCUUGGUACUAGGAGCCGAUGAAGGACGGGACUAACACCGAUAUGCUUCGGGGAG